GCUCUAAGGUAUGUUGCAAGG
rnacentral:misc_RNA from 1 species